UACGAAGGGGGCUAGCGUUGCUCGGAAUCACUGGGCGUAAAGCGCACGUAGGCGGCUUUCUAAGUCAGGGGUGAAAUCCUGGAGCUCAACUCCAGAACUGCCUUUGAUACUGGAGAGCUCGAGUCCGGGAGAGGUGAGUGGAACUCCGAGUGUAGAGGUGAAAUUCGUAGAUAUGCGGAGGAACACCGAUGGCGAAGGCAAUCCCCUGGGCCUGCACUGACGCUCAUGCACGAAAGCGUGGGGAGCAAACAGG
rnacentral:rRNA from 1 species